AAGAGUACAGCCCGCACCUCAUCACAAUCUCCUUUCAGGGAGUUGUAGAGAACGGGAGAAAGGAGGACACCAUAACGCUCCCAAGCCGCCAAGGCAGUACGCUGCGACGAAAAGAGAUUUAAAGACAAGGUCUGUUUAACGAACCGAGGAUUGCCCUCAUCCUCUGGAAAUUCACACCACUUCAUAGGCUGGACUCUUCGAGGUUUUUUCCAACCUAACUGACGAUGUGAUUUUGUGAAGCAAUGCCCUGGUGUGCUGCUGAGGGGAAAGGAAAAGGAAAAGGAAAAAGAAUAAUGCUGAGAAACAUUCUUUGAAUUGGUGACCGUGCAUUGGAACAGAUUUCCCAGAGAAGUUGUGGAGUCUCCCUUCCUGGAGGUAUUCCAGAACCCUCCGAAUGCAAUCCUGUGCUGUGUGCUCUGGAUCACCUUGCUCGAGCAGAGAGGUUGGGCCAGAUGACCCAUUGACCCUUCCAGCCUGACCCGUUCUGGGAUUCUGUGAGGGAAAUGCAAAAAGUGAUGCCUGGGUGUGGUGCUGUAGGAAAAGGUGGAAAAACAACUAAUAAUUUUAAGACACACUCUUUGAAUAGGUGAGUUUUGCUGCUAGAG